rnacentral:ncRNA from 1 species
UCGGCUUGAGUAACGAAAACAUUGGUGAGAAUCCAAUGCCCCGAAAACCCAAGGUUUCCUCCGCAAGGUUCGUCCACGGAGGGUGAGUCAGGGCCUAAGAUCAGGCCGAAAGGCGUAGUCGAUGGACAACAGGUCAAUAUUCCUGUGCUACCCCUUGUUGGUACGGAGGGACGGAGGAGGCUAGGUUAGCCGAAAGAUGGUUAUAGGUUUAAGGACACAAGGUGACCCCUUGCUUUUUCAAGGGUAAGAAGGGGGUAGGAGA